UUAUCAGAAAGAAAAAUUUAAUAGGGACUUAUUAACAGAAGCCAUGUCUCAGAUGGUGGUAAGACAAGAUGGUGGAUCCCCACACCAUUAUCCCUGCCCCAGACCCAGGGUUUAUAUACCAUAGGGAAGGAGUGUAUAAGACAGUUGAAUUCAACUCCUCAGGGAAAGGCAAGAAUGCUGUGUUAGUCUGCCUGAGAGAAGAAUUUAUUAUCAAGGUUGUUUUGACCUCUGGGCAACAUGUAUGAUAACAGUAGAUAAAGUAGAAAUCUUACAGGCCUUCCCAGAACAGGGUUAAUCAGAAGUCAACAUGGCAGAUUAGCAUCCAAGAUGGAGUUGCUUUAGCAUCCACAUCUAAUUAUGGGUAACAUAUUUCUAAUUCUGUGUAUUUCUAGUCAUUCUUGAUUAGAUGCUGGGUAAUGCAAAUUUACAUCAUUGAGUGCUUGAUUUUAUUGUAUUCCAUUAAAGAGGGGUUGCAUUUUGUCCUGGAGGCCAUUAAAAGACAACUAUAAUCUUUUUAAAGCUUGUUUUUAAGCUCUUAAAAAAUGGGACUACAGUAACCUUCACUCUAGAGCUAGGUUAGCCCCACCAUUGAAAUAUGACCCUUCUAGAAUCUUUCAUCAAAUAUAUAAAUGCCUCACAUAUUAUAGCAAUGCGUCUCCAUCCUGGUUAGUAGAACCUCAAAUGAUUCCCCAACCUGUGUGAACUCUAAGAAUCUUUUUAUCUUACUUCUCCCAAGUAAUUGUCCUUUCCCUGGAUUUUUUUUUUAGUUAGCUUCAUGGGAACUCAAGGGAGCUCUAUGCAUGUUUCUGAAACUUUCUCUGUAAAAAUCUUUCCACUACGUGCAAACCCUAGCUGCCUCAACCUCCUGAAUUCUCUUCUUUGUAUCCUCAACUCAGCAAGACCACCAGGCUCUCUUUGGGUUCCCCAUCCCUGCAUCACAGACCAGAAAUCUCCAGCAGAAAGCCAGGUGAUCACAGGGCUCACCUCAUUUGUUUCCAUUCUCUCAAGGAUCACAGUCCAUUGUCUGAAAACUGUUAUUUCAUAUGUUUUGUCAAGUUUUCUGUUUACAGGAGAAUGGUAAGUCUGUCUCAAUUAUAGGGCUUCCCUUACAACUGGAAGCAGAAGUCUAGAAAGAAACAUCAGGAGUAAGGAAAUGUUCUGCCUAUGCAGCUCCUGUACAAUAAUGAGGACUGGACUAUCUUAGGAUCAUACCUGUCUUCUGAGGGAUAUGUGGUUUGAUCAUCUAGCUACAACACCAUAAUGCAAUGGAAAGAAUCAAGGAUCAGUAGUCUAGUUUUGCCUCCACACUGUCUGUAGUGGCAUUUUUUGUGUUUGUCUGCCCCCGAUCCUUUCCCCCCUUUCUGAUUACAGCACUCACCUUCCUUUGGAGAACUGCUCCUCCCCAAUUCCAUGUGGUUCUUCUUCAGUUACCAGUCACAGUGCCCUCCAGACCACAGGGAUGAGUAUGUGAUUCAAGCCUCUCCCUUCAGAGCUCUUCAUCCCCUUGCCUCAGUUACUGGUUCAGGAAUGAAUACAUUAUCCAAAUUGGGUCAAUGACAACCAUUUCUUAAGAUUUUUAGAUGAAUGCUAGGAAAGAACAUAUUUUUCCAGGGGCAUCACUAGGCUGGAUUGACAUAAGCUCAUAGCUUUCUGCCACCAGAUCUACCAUCUACUCUUCACCCAUCUCUGCAAUAGAAGUCAUCAGGGUAGAAGGCCUGAGGAGGCAGACAGAGGGAGUGACAGGUGAUGUGUUCUUGGAGUCUCUAAGGUCAGCUCUAAUCUACCUCGGCACUUCCUGCUUAUGUGAACCAAUAAAUUCCCUUUCCUACUUGUUUGAAUUGGUUUUCUGUCACUUUCAACCAAAAAACUCUAUUUACUUCCUGUUUCUGGGUCUUAGUCCAGAUGUCUUCAAAGUGCACUGUAUGAACUCCAAGGAGUGCAUACAUAAAAUGAUGCACUGAUAUGUGGGAAAAAUAUAAGACUUUCUAUUUAUGAGAGUAGACAUUUUCUGAUGGAAAAGGGUAUAUCAAAAUGGCAGAAUAGCAACAACAUGAAGAACAGACUUCAUCCUCCAGAGUGCAGGGCCAGGGUCUGAUUCAUGUUUAUCUCUCCCAGCAGUGAGCACAGGGCCUGGUUCAUAGAUGAUAUCAAAUAAAAAAUUAUGGGACAUGUGAAUAAAUAAAUAUGAAAAGACAAGGAGUGUUUAGAUAAGUGCCUAUAGUGGGGUAUAGGGUGCAUAGCACAUGGAAGAUGAAGAGCAAGUGAUAGGAGUUUUGUUAAGGGAUGGCACAGACCUUUUUUUUUUUGAGAUGGAGUCUCACUCUGUUGCCCAGGCUGGAGUGCAGUGGCGCCAUCUCAGCUUACUGCAACUUCCAUCUUCUAGGUUCAAGAGAUUCUCCUGCCUCAGCCUCCUGAGUAGCUGGGAUUACAGGCAUGUGAUUCCACGCCCGGUUAAUUUUUAUAUUUUUAAUUUUGUAUUUUAAUUAAUUUUUAAUUUAAAUUAUGUAUUUAAAUUUUUUAUUUUUGUAUUUUAAUGAGGUUUCACCAUGUUGGCCAGGCUGGUUUUGAACUCCUGACCUCAUGUGAUCCUCCUGCCUCAGCCUCCCAAAGUGCUGGGAUUACAGAUGUGAGCCACUGUGCCCGGCCUCACAGAACUCUUUGAGCAGGGAGAUUUUUGUGAGACUGGGUUUGAAGGGCUCUUUGUCUGCAGCAGAAAGACUGAGCAGUGACAUUUGUUAGGGAUCUAUGUCAAAUAGUCAAAGUAUGAGAUGAUGGAGACUUAGUAGAUGAGGAGAGGGGAGGUGCAGGAGAGAUUUCAAAGGCAGAAUUACCUUGGUGAUUGGAUGUUGGGUUGGCAAAAACAAUGGGGCAGGAGAGGUGUUUGGUUGAAAAGGGAGAUGAGGGUGUCAGGGCAGAGUUGAAUCAAUGAGAACCCAAGAGUUUCCACCUUGGAUGCGUAGGACAGAAAUUCCAGUGUGAGAAGGUUUGGAGGAAGCAUGAGUUCAGUUGAUGGCCUCUUGUGUUUUUGAGUUGAGUUAUCCAGAUGAAUGUGUCCCAUAGGCCAUGGGAUUUGUCAAGGAUAGAGACAAAAGUUUGGGAGUCAUCAGGGAAGAGAUAAUGUUAAAACAAUGAGUCUGGUUACAGAUGAGAAGGCCAAGGAAUAAACCCCAGGCACAUUCAAGGGGUAGGGUCAACACUGCCAAACUGCACUACUCCAGAGAGUAUCUGGAAUCUAGAGACUACGCAGGCUCUCUGUUUGUGCAUACACACACUGCCCUGGCAGCAGAAGCCCUGGGUGGGCCCCUAGGAAGACGCACAUGGAAUGAUCAGAGAGGUUAGAAGAGUCCAGGAAGAGAGUGGAGUUCUGGAAGCCAAAAGAUUGAGUCUUAACAAAAUCAAAUGCCACAAGGAGGUGAAGAAUACGGACUAGGAAUGGGUAGAUAGCAAGGAAAUACAAGGUAAACUCGGCCACCCACUAGCUGGGAUUUUUGUUUGUUUGGUUUUUUUGUUUGUUUGUUUGUUUUUUGCUUUGUUUUGUUUUGUUUUAUUUUUGAGACAGAGUCUCACUCUGUCACCCGGGCUGGAGUGCAGUGGCACGAUCUCAGCUCACAGCAACCUUGGCCUCCCGGGUUCAAGAAAUUCUCCUGCCUCAGCCUCCCGAGUAGCUGGGAUUACAGGUGCCCACCACUACGCCCAGCUAAUUUUUUGUAUUCUUAGUAGAGACGAGGUUUCACCAUGUUGGCCAGGCUAGUCUCGAACUCCUGACUUUGUGAUUCGCCUGCCUCCGCCUCCCAAAGUGCUGGGAUCACAGGCGUGAGCCACCGCACCCAGCCUAGCUGGGAUUUUUAAGCAAGUUAGCCAGCCUCAGCUACCUCCUAGAGUAGUGGAGGGUAAAGCAGUUAAUCCCUUAGGUGUUUAGGAAAUCCUGGUGCCUGCUUUUGUUGGCUAUGAUUAUUAUUUAAGCUUCACCUUCUUUAAGCUUCUUUGACUGCCUCCGACUGUGCAGAUCAUCCUCACCUUAGCCCUUCCCCUCAGCCUCCCUCCCCAGGCAUCUGACUUGACCGGUGAGCCCGCUGAGGACUUAGGGGUGCCCCUGAGUCUCUGGAUGAAACCCGCAUUUCCGUAGCCUCCUCUCCUCCAGUAUUCUGAGAACAGAGAUGGCCUGGGGAGAUCAGAGGGGAGCAGGAAGUCCCCAAAGCCCAGGGUGGUCCUUGUCCACUUUUGGACACAAAUCUGAGUGGGUGGAGCUUAACCUGAGCCAUGCCCUCUAGCAAGCACUGCCCCUCCCUCAGCCUUCCCACUUGGCCUGAAUCUCCCGGGGGUAAAGGGGGAGUGAGGACUAGCACUGUGCCAUCCUUGGGGCCUAAACUCCUUUGGGACCAAAGCUCACCAAAAAGCCUCCACAGGACAGGAGAAGCAGGCGGGACCCCCAGUUUGGAGAGGGCAUUGAGGAAGAUCUGCCCCACCCCACCCCAGGUCCUUGUGCCUCAGGAGACUCCCAUUUGCUCUCUUCGGAGCUAGGGAGUUCAGUCGGCUGGGGGAGAGGGUGAGGCAAGGCGUGGGAGCCACAAAGGGGCGCGCUGUGUGGCCUCCAGGCCGCUGGCUUUUGAAGGCCGAUUUGCUCUGGCUGAGCCAGAGGAAGCGAAUGCUAAUUUCCUCCUAGAUGGGGUCUGUAGCCCUUCCUCCCGAGUCGAAGGGGAGGGAGAGCGGGAGACUGGACACGCUUGUGGCCCUGGAACUGCCAUUAUCUUCCACCUCCCCCAGGCCUCUCACACUUUCUGGGACUCCAGUGACCACCCCACAACUCACAGAAAGUAGGUCUAUCCAGUACUCAAUCGUUCCUAACUUUGCCUCUCUUUUCCGGAAGAGGAAAAGAGAGGACUAAGCUAGCUGUUGGGCAACCAAAGUUAAGGGCAGCAAGGCCGUGAAGCCGCCACACCCACUACCCUGGGGGCAGGUGUGGAAGACCUGGAGGCAUAGCCUUGCCUGGAGCAGCUUUUGAACCGCUGCGGGAGGGAGGUGUUCCCUUUUCAAUCCUCUUCUUCCUCCUGGAUUAGACCUGGGAGAAAUCUGGAUUGCAAACAUUUGCUAACCCCACCAUCCCAUCACUCCCACCCUCCACCCCAGAGAGCCCAAGGCUUUCAGCUCCCUGAGGUUCAACAACAUUGGGCUAUUUGAAUUGUAUUUCUAUUUAGAAUUAGCUUCUACUUUUUCUAUUUGCAGUUAGGAUAUAAACUUCCAAAAUACUGAGCUUAAAUAAUACACUUUAAAUAAAUGUUUCAAAAAGGGAUUAAUAGUUUAGGUGGAUGCAACAAAGGUAAAAAAGUGUAUAAUGGGCCUUUGAUGACUCAGGUCAGGGAAACUGUAGUCUGAUGGGGCAGAGAAAUAGGGCUGGGGCCUCUUCUGCACCACUCAGGUUGUUCCACAGGGAGGAAGCCUGAUUGCCUGGAGCUCUCAGGGACCUGGAGUUUCCAGGCAGACCCUCUGACCCACUGGAAAUCAAUUAAAAGCCCCCCAGUUCCAAUCUCCCUGCCUGUAUGCAGGAGGCCAUGUCCUGGAGGCCUGAGGGCUUUGUUCCUUUCCUGGUCUGUCUCAUUCCAAAGCCUGUGUA
rnacentral:lncRNA from 10 species